rnacentral:rRNA from 1 species
AUGCACGCUGGCGGCGUGCUUAACACAUGCAAGUCGCACGGUGAAGGCGGAGCUUGCUCUGCUGGAUCAGUGGCGAACGGGUGAGUAACACGUGAGCAAUCUGCCCCUGACUCUGGGAUAAGCGCUGGAAACGGCGUCUAAUACUGGAUACGAGCUGCGAAGGCAUCUUCAGCAGCUGGAAAGAACUUCGGUCAGGGAUGAGCUCGCGGCCUAUCAGCUUGUUGGUGAGGUAACGGCUCACCAAGGCGUCGACGGGUAGCCGGCCUGAGAGGGUGACCGGCCACACUGGGACUGAGACACGGCCCAGACUCCUACGGGAGGCAGCAGUGGGGAAUAUUGCACAAUGGGCGAAAGCCUGAUGCAGCAACGCCGCGUGAGGGACGACGGCCUUCGGGUUGUAAACCUCUUUUAGCAGGGAAGAAGCGAAAGUGACGGUACCUGCAGAAAAAGCGCCGGCUAACUACGUG